AGGGAGCUGGGGCAAAGGCACCAGGGAGGCUCCUGGUGCUCAGAUAGGACUGGAAGUCUGGGACAUAACACUUUUCAGAGGGGGAAGGGGCCAGGGAAGAGAGGCUAUUUUUAAUAGCCAAAUAGGAGAUAUAAGCUCAUUAAAAACCAGAAGGAAAGGAAUAAAAUGUUUAACAAGUGUCUGAGUGGAGGACCUCCUUCAAGCUGAAGCAAUGAAAUGACAUCAAGAAGACAAAGGCCAACAGCGAACAGGGAUAAGUGAUGGCCUGUGUCCCAAGUGGCCUGGAGUGGACGCCACUAGAUGGACAGGUUCUGGGUCAGGUCCUCAUCUUGCGGCACGGAGGAAUCGUGAUGAUGGCUGCAGCCCCCAGAAGAUGAACUUGAGAGGAGCUGGCUGAGAUGAUUUUUCAGCUGAUGGUGAAAUGUGCUGGCAGAGUCUAUACAGGUAGGUUGGCGCAGGUGAGGAGUGGGGUGGGCACUUUGUCUCUUGUGACCCCGAAUAAUGUUUCCUUGCAGAAUUGGAAGCCUCCAGGACAGGUGGAUGCCAGCUGGAUUUAGCCAUUCACAUUGGCAAACCACUCUUAGGUGAUCUGUUACAUUCUGAUGAAAGCAUUCUUCCUAAUACAAGCAAUCUGAGAGCUUAGAGCUAGGAGACAACAUCCAGGAGCAGAGAUCACACACUCUUGGGUCCUUGCCUGGGAAAUGGGGAUAACAACAGCACCAGCCUAAUGUGAGGAUCAAAGGAGAUGAUGUCCAUCAAGUAUUUAGCUCGGGGAUGGACACUAAGUGCUCCAUACAUGUUAGGAACUCUCUCUGUUCCCAAGUCCAGAAAUCUGGAGAAAGGUUUCCAUUGGCCCAGCUGAGUUGGGGUUCACCUCUGGCAAAUCAAUGAUGGCCAUUAAAGUGGGCUGUGCAAUAAAUAAGAAGGUGAAUUUCAAAAAAAAUAGGUUGGGGUGCAGAAUGUUUUCCAAGAAGGAUUAGCACAGUUCUAGGUAAAGAACAGAGGUCAUCCCUCUGGCUGCCAGCAGAAAAGGGUUUGAUCAGGCCCCAACAGCCUGGAGGCAGGAAAGUACCUAAGAGGCACCACAGUUGUCCAGGUGAGAAAUAACGCAGGCCUGAGCUAAGCAACAGUGCAGAUGGAGAGAAGGCGUAGCCAAGAGAAGUUUUGGAGGUAGAAAUAGGGGGCAUGGUGCCAAGUGCACAGGAGAAAUGAGACAGAAUGAAAGGUUGAAGGUGGCCUCAGGUGCUAGCCCAGAAACCUACAAACAGCCUCUCCAAAAUGUCACUUCAUUACUCAGGUUCACUUUUCCCACCACCACCGCCACUCCAUUCUGCUCAGUAGCACAAACUUAGUUGAAGGUAAGCACAGCCACAUCUGGACAUUUCCAAAGACUCUCUUAAGUAGAUUCUUGGUCCACUUCCAGCUCCUCUGCUUCCCACUGCUCCUUCUCCUUGUGGGUAGUCAGUGUUCUGGGAGCUUCUAUUCUGACCUGGCACCAGGGGCAUGCAAGUGAUUCAGGUCUGCCAGCAACUAUCCACUGCCAUCCACCUAGCCACAGAAUCCCUGCUGAAUCUUUGUCCUGACCAUGAGGCACAUACAAGUCCACCGGCUACACUCACCCUCUUCUCUACACCCUCACCAUCACCACAGUGUUACAAAGACAAACAGGACCCUGGAGGACCCCUCUAGGCCACCUUCUCCCACUAGGGCUCCUCAGCCUCUCCAGCCCAUGCCAGGAGCUUGUGGUUUCCCAGGCAACACCUGAGGAGCCAGGUAACGGUCCCUUCUGCUCUGGGAUACCUCAAAUUUAUUCUGGGAGCUCUAGUAUCUACUGUAUAGCUACAUCUCUAUGUGAUUCCUUUCUUCCCACUAGCUGGUCUAACUUUUAUUUCCUUUUAGGCAGAAAAACAGCUUCAGGCAGAAAAACAGCUUCUGCAUUCUUCCCUGUUUACCAUUCUGGCAUCAAUUUCAAGUGCUCAGUCCCUCAAGCUCUUUCCUCUCUACAAAAGCCCAGCUACUGCAACCAACUAUCCUGUCUGUCUCUGCUUAAGUUUCAAGAGACUCUUUGAAACUACUGACCAUUGUUCUCACUGCAUUCAUGCUGCAGCAACCCAAAUCCUGCAAAGCUCUGACUGAAUCAGGAAAGAGUGACCUUGGUAGCUAGUCUCCAAAGACAGCCACCACCAAUACUUGCCUUCCUAUAAUAUAUAUCAUACUCCUUGUAUCAGGAAGAGAAGUGUAAUUCCCUCCCCAUGAAUCUAGGCUGGCCUUAGUGACUUUCUUGGCCAAUAGAAUAUAGCAGAAGGGGCCGGGCGCGGUGGCUCAAGCCUGUAAUCCCAGCACUUUAGGAGGCCGAGGCGGGCGGAUCA